rnacentral:rRNA from 1 species
UACGUAGGUUGCGAGCGUUAUUCGGAUUUACUGGGCGUAAAGAGCACCGAGGUGGCUUCUUAAGUUGGAUGUGAAAUCUCCUGGCUUAACCGGGAGGCGCCAUUCAAAACUGGGGAGCUUGAGGCCAGCAGGGGAAGGUGGAAUUCCCGGUGUAGUGGUGGAAUGCGUAGAGAUCGGGAGGAACACCAGUGGCGAAAGCGACCUUCUGGGCUGCACCUGACACUCUAGUGCGAAAGCGUGGGGAGCAAACAGG